rnacentral:tRNA from 1 species
AUCAUUAGUGUCGCAGUGGAAGCGUGCUCGGUCCGUAACCCAGAGGUCCAUGGAUCGCAACCACGCUCUGCUA